CUUCCCCCUUAGAGUUUGAUCAUGGCUCAAGAUGAACGCUAGCGGCAGGCUUAAUACAUGCAAGUCGGGGGGCCAGCAAUGGCACCGGCGGACGGGUGAGUAACGCGUACACAACGUACCUUUAACUGGGGGAUAGCAUCUGGAAACGGGUGGUAAUACCGCAUGUGGUUGCGGGGAGGCAUCUCCUUGUAACUAAAACUUUGGUGGUUAGAGAUCGGUGUGCGUCUGAUUAGCUAGUUGGUAGGGUAGAGGCCUACCAAGGCGACGAUCAGUAGGGGGCGUGAGAGCGUGACCCCCCACACGGGUACUGAGACACGGACCCGACUCCUACGGGAGGCAGCAGUAAGGAAUAUUGGUCAAUGGAGGGAACUCUGAACCACCCAUGCCGCGUGAAGGAAGAAGGCGCUACGCGUUGUAAACUUCUUUUGGGUGGGACAAAAAUAAUUCAUUUAUGGAUAGCUGACGGUACCAUCAGAAUAAGCACCGGCUAACUCCGUGCCAGCAGCCGCGGUAAUACGGAGGGUGCGAGCGUUAUCCGGAAUCACUGGGUUUAAAGGGUGCGUAGGUGGCUUAAUAAGUCAGCUGUGAAAUGUCUGGGCUUAACCGAGGCAUUGCGGUUGAUACUGUUAGGCUUGAAUCAAGUUGAGGUGGCUAGAAUGCGACAUGUAGCGGUGAAAUGCUUAGAGAUUACAUGGAAAUACCAAUUGCGAAGGCAGGUUACUACUAAUGUAUUGACGCUGAUGGACGAAAGCGUGGGUAGCGACAUAUUAGAUACCCUGUACUCCACGCCGUAAACGAUGAUACUAGCUGUGGGCGCUAGUUCAGUGACUAAGCGAAAGUGAUACUAUCCCCACCUGGGAGUAGUACGUCGCAGAUGGAAACUCAAGGAAUUCGACGCGGCCCGACAGCGGUGAAAACUAGUGAAUCAUCGAUGAUCGCGAGCAUCUACCAAGCAUGAACUGUAG
rnacentral:rRNA from 1 species